UGGGAUCAGGCCCGAAUGAAGACCCCUGAGAUAUGAGGAGCCAAGCUGGAUUCUGAGACACAUGCCUGCCCUCAGAGCGCCCAGAAUUUUCAGACUACCAAAGACCAUUACUGCUGAGUGGUGUUCAGAUGCCCUGGGAGCCACAGCGAGGCUGGAGAGGUCAGAGACAACGUCAUAAGGAGGUCAGGUGUGGGCUGAGAGAGGGGCUGACCAGGUUGGGCAUACCAGACACUGGAAACAGCAUCUGCAAAGACACAGAGCCCAGGCCUCCAGGUACGGCCCGUCUCCUCAAGGCUCCGUUGGCAAAGUUCAAGCGCGGGAGCUGCCUGCGCCCAGCCCAGCUGCCUUCUCCCAGAGGUGGGACUGAGCACAGCCAGAGCCGUCUGUGCAGCCAAGGCCUCCGGGGCUGUGCCACCCAUCACCCCACGCAGGACUCCGUGCGGGGCUGCAGAAGGGAUGGGUGCGGCAAACGUGCAUCGCCUUGGCCUGGGAUGAGCUGAACUGAUGUGUGUGACGGCUCUUCCUCUGGCCUUGCUGGGAAGCCGGUCCGACUGCAUUGGGCCCCCGGUUUCCAUGGGGGUAAAAUGAGAGUUUGGGAUGACACGUGUGGUUUCCAAACUCUGCUUUCAGAGCCCCAGGCAUUCUCUGGGGGAGAAGCACGGCCAUAGGAGUUCCUGGUCUUACCAGGUACACGGGGCUUCAUUCCUAAGAUUUCGUUUGCAGAACAAGCCCACAGCUGAGAUAAUUUUGAUCACGUCUGGGCUGGGUGAUGCCUGUGUCCAUCCCAGCUCGAACCUUCCAGGAAUGGGCAGUGCUGCAUCCCCCGCAGGAGGGCCCAGGCUGCAGGCUGAGGAAGGAUGAACCAAAGGACCUUCCCCUCACACCUUGGGUUGAGUGCAGUACGAGACCCUCAAAUACAUAUGCCCAAGACACAGAGGGACAAGGCUGGCUGUGGAAAGUGGGCUCGGGAGGUUCCAGCCAGACCCAGAAGAGGAUGUGCACCUGCGUUCCCCCCUUACACACCUAUGCACACACGCAUGCACGGACACACAUACACACAGGCACACACACACAUGUGUGUGCACCCAUGCACACACGCACGCAGUCCACCGCCCCAACCCCUGCACAGCCCUGCCUACAGAAGAAGACUCCAGCUCAAGACGUUUCCUUACGUCCGCCUCUGAGCCCGGCCCCAUUCCCACUUACCUCCUCUUUGGACUCUUCAAGCUGACCUAGCAGAGCGCAUCUCUAUCUGUUUUUCAAAUAUUUGGGGCUUGCUAAAGACCAACACAUUUUUUUUUUAAGUGUGUAUAAUUUGAGGGCAAUUUAAUCCAUAUGUUUCUGAUUCUCUUGCACUUAAAUCAU